GACGAACGCUGGCGGCGUGCCUAAUACAUGCAAGUCGAGCGAAGUUUUUCUGGUGCUUGCACUAGAAAAACUUAGCGGCGAACGGGUGAGUAACACGUAAAGAACCUGCCUCAUAGACUGGGACAACUAUUGGAAACGAUAGCUAAUACCGGAUAACAGUAUUUCUCGCAUGAGAGAUAUUUAAAAGUUGGUUAUGCUAACACUAUGAGAUGGCUUUGCGGUGCAUUAGCUAGUUGGUGGGGUAAAGGCCCACCAAGGCGACGAUGCAUAGCCGACCUGAGAGGGUGAUCGGCCACACUGGGACUGAGACACGGCCCAGACUCCUACGGGAGGCAGCAGUAGGGAAUCUUCCGCAAUGGGCGAAAGCCUGACAGAGCAACGCCGGGCGAGUGAAGAAGGAUUUCGGUUCGUAAAGCUCUGUUGUUAGGGAAGAAUGGAUAUGUAGUAACUAUACAUGUAAGAGACGGUACCUAACCAGAAAGCCACGGCUAACUACGU
rnacentral:rRNA from 1 species